rnacentral:rRNA from 1 species
CGCCAGACUCCUACGGGAGGCAGCAGUGGGGAAUAUUGCACAAUGGGGGAAACCCUGAUGCAGCGACGCCGCGUGAGCGAUGAAGUAUUUCGGUAUGUAAAGCUCUAUCAGCAGGGAAGAAGAUGACGGUACCUGACUAAGAAGCCCCGGCUAGCUACGUGCCAGCAGCCGCGGUAAUACGUAGGGGGCAAGCGUUAUCCGGAUUUACUGGGUGUAAAGGGAGCGUAGACGGCGAUGCAAGCCAGAUGUGAAAGCCCGGGGCUCAACCCCGGGACUGCAUUUGGAACUGUGUGGCUGGAGUGUCGGAGAGGCAGGCGGAAUUCCUAGUGUAGCGGUGAAAUGCGUAGAUAUUAGGAGGAACACCAGUGGCGAAGGCGGCCUGCUGGACGAUGACUGACGUUGAGGCCCGAAAGCGUGGGGAGCAAACAGGAUUAGAUACCCCGGUA